UAGGGAAUCUUCGGCAAUGGACGAAAGUCUGACCGAGCAACGCCGCGUGAGUGAAGAAGGUUUUCGGAUCGUAAAACUCUGUUGUUAGAGAAGAACAAGGACGUUAGUAACUGAACGUCCCCUGACGGUAUCUAACCAGAAAGCCACGGCUAACUACGUGCCAGCAGCCGCGGUAAUACGUAGGUGGCAAGCGUUGUCCGGAUUUAUUGGGCGUAAAGCGAGCGCAGGCGGUUUCUUAAGUCUGAUGUGAAAGCCCCCGGCUCAACCGGGGAGGGUCAUUGGAAACUGGGAGACUUUAGUGCAGAAGAGGAUGGUGGAAUUCCAUGUGUAGCGGUGAAAUGCGUAGAUAUAUGGAGGAACACCAGUUGCGAAGGCGGCUCUCUGGUCUGUAACUGACGCUGAGGCUCGAAAGCGUGGGGAGCAAACAGG
rnacentral:rRNA from 1 species